UCCCUAGUGGUCUAGUGGCUAAGACUCUGUGCUCCCAAUGCAGGGGGCCCAGGCUCGACUCCUGGUCAGGGAA
rnacentral:tRNA from 1 species